CUCCCACCGAGUGUCGGCUCGGUUUUUUCCCUUUUAGCCUGCAGGCGCCGAAUUCUGUGGGGCGCCAAAAGGCUAAAAGGGAAAAAACUGAGCCAAUGCUCAGUAGGAG
rnacentral:miRNA from 1 species